UGAUAGUAAGAGCUGCCUCUGUCUCCGGGGCUACAACCCGGCGCCUAACCUCGGCCAUACUANCCUGUGAUACU
rnacentral:tRNA from 1 species